rnacentral:rRNA from 1 species
ACUCCUACGGGAGGCAGCAGUGGGGAAUAUUGGACAAUGGGCGCAAGCCUGAUCCAGCCAUGCCGCGUGUGUGAAGAAGGCCUUUUGGUUGUAAAGCACUUUAAGCGAGGAGGAGGCUACUUGGAUUAAUACUCUAGGAUAGUGGACGUUACUCGCAGAAUAAGCACCGGCUAACUCUGUGCCAGCAGCCGCGGUAAUACAGAGGGUGCGAGCGUUAAUCGGAUUUACUGGGCGUAAAGCGUGCGUAGGCGGCUUUUUAAGUCGGAUGUGAAAUCCCUGAGCUUAACUUAGGAAUUGCAUUCGAUACUGGGAAGCUAGAGUAUGGGAGAGGAUGGUAGAAUUCCAGGUGUAGCGGUGAAAUGCGUAGAGAUCUGGAGGAAUACCGAUGGCGAAGGCAGCCAUCUGGCCUAAUACUGACGCUGAGGUACGAAAGCAUGGGGAGCAAACAGGAUUAGAUACCCUGGUAGUCCAUGCCGUAAACGAUGUCUACUAGCCGUUGGGGCCUUUGAGGCUUUAGUGG